rnacentral:rRNA from 1 species
AUUGAACGCUGGCGGCAUGCCUUACACAUGCAAGUCGAACGGCAGCACGGGUGCUUGCACCUGGUGGCGAGUGGCGAACGGGUGAGUAAUACAUCGGAACAUGUCCUUUAGUGGGGGAUAGCCCGGCGAAAGCCGGAUUAAUACCGCAUACGAUCUACGGAUGAAAGCGGGGGACCUUCGGGCCUCGCGCUAUAGGGUUGGCCGAUGGCUGAUUAGCUAGUUGGUGGGGUAAAGGCCUACCAAGGCGACGAUCAGUAGCUGGUCUGAGAGGACGACCGGCCACACGGGGAGUGAGCCACGGCCCAGACUCCUACGGGAGGCAGCAGUGGGGAAUGGUGGACAAUGGGCGAAAGUCUGAUCCAGCAAGGCCGCGUGUGUGAAGAAGGCCUUCGGGUUGUAAAGCCCUUUUGUCCGGAAAGAAACGCUUGGCCCUAAUACGGUCGGGGGAUGACGGUACCGGAAGAAUAAGCACCGGCUAACUACGUG